rnacentral:rRNA from 1 species
GAUCCUGGCUCAGAUUGAACGCUGGCGGCAGGCUUAACACAUGCAAGUCGAACGGUAACAGGAGAGAGCUUGCUUUCUUGCUGACGAGUGGCGGACGGGUGAGUAAUGCUUGGGAAUCUGGCUUAUGGAGGGGGAUAACGACGGGAAACUGUCGCUAAUACCGCGUAGAGUCGAGAGACGAAAGUGCGGGACCGCAAGGCCCGCAUGCCAGUAGGAUGACGACCCAAGGUGGGUAUUAGGUAGUUGGG